GCCACAGCUCAGUGGUAGAGCAUUUGCUUUGCAUGCAGAAGGUCCCAGGUUCAAUCCCCUUUGGUGUCUCCA